rnacentral:rRNA from 1 species
GGGUUGUGAGGUUAAGCGACUAAGCGUACACGGUGGAUGCCCUGGCAGUCAGAGGCGAUGAAGGACGUGCUAAUCUGCGAUAAGCGUCGGUAAGGUGAUAUGAACCGUUAUAACCGGCGAUUUCCGAAUGGGGAAACCCAGUGUGAUUCGUCACACUAUCAUUAACUGAAUCCAUAGGUUAAUGAGGCGAACCGGGGGAACUGAAACAUCUAAGUACCCCGAGGAAAAGAAAUCAACCGAGAUUCCCCCAGUAGCGGCGAGCGAACGGGGAGCAGCCCAGAGCCUGAAUCAGUGUGUGUGUUAGUGGAAGCGUCUGGAAAGGCGUGCGAUACAGGGUGACAGCCCCGUACACAAAAAUGCACAUACUGUGAGCUCGAUGAGUAGGGCGGGACACGUGGUAUCCUGUCUGAAUAUGGGGGGACCAUCCUCCAAGGCUAAAUACUCCUGACUGACCGAUAGUGAACCAGUACCGUGAGGGAAAGGCGAAAAGAACCCCGGCGAGGGGAGUGAAAAAGAACCUGAAACCGUGUACGUACAAGCAGUGGGAGCACGCUUAGGCGUGUGACUGCGUACCUUUUGUAUAAUGGGUCAGCGACUUAUAUUCUGUAGCAAGGUUAACCGAAUAGGGGAGCCGAAGGGAAACCGAGUCUUAACUGGGCGUUAAGUUGCAGGGUAUAGACCCGAAACCCGGUGAUCUAGCCAUGGGCAGGUUGAAGGUUGGGUAACACUAACUGGAGGACCGAACCGACUAAUGUUGAAAAAUUAGCGGAUGACUUGUGGCUGGGGGUGAAAGGCCAAUCAAACCGGGAGAUAGCUGGUUCUCCCCGAAAGCUAUUUAGGUAGCGCCUCGUGAAUUCAUCUCCGGGGGUAGAGCACUGUUUCGGCAAGGGGGUCAUCCCGACUUACCAACCCGAUGCAAACUGCGAAUACCGGAGAAUGUUAUUACGGGAGACACACGGCGGGUGCUAACGUCCGUCGUGAAGAGGGAAACAACCCAGACCGCCAGCUAAGGUCCCAAAGUCAUGGUUAAGUGGGAAACGAUGUGGGAAGGCCCAGACAGCCAGGAUGUUGGCUUAGAAGCAGCCAUCAUUUAAAGAAAGCGUAAUAGCUCACUGGUCGAGUCGGCCUGCGCGGAAGAUGUAACGGGGCUAAACCAUGCACCGAAGCUGCGGCAGCGACGCUUAUGCGUUGUUGGGUAGGGGAGCGUUCUGUAAGCCUGUGAAGGUGUGCUGUGAGGUAUGCUGGAGGUAUCAGAAGUGCGAAUGCUGACAUAAGUAACGAUAAAGCGGGUGAAAAGCCCGCUCGCCGGAAGACCAAGGGUUCCUGUCCAACGUUAAUCGGGGCAGGGUGAGUCGACCCCUAAGGCGAGGCCGAAAGGCGUAGUCGAUGGGAAACAGGUUAAUAUUCCUGUACUUGGUGUUACUGCGAAGGGGGGACGGAGAAGGCUAUGUUGGCCGGGCGACGGUUGUCCCGGUUUAAGCGUGUAGGCUGGUUUUCCAGGCAAAUCCGGAAAAUCAAGGCCGAGGCGUGAUGACGAGGCACUACGGUGCUGAAGCAACAAAUGCCCUGCUUCCAGGAAAAGCCUCUAAGCAUCAGGUAACAUCAAAUCGUACCCCAAACCGACACAGGUGGUCAGGUAGAGAAUACCAAGGCGCUUGAGAGAACUCGGGUGAAGGAACUAGGCAAAAUGGUGCCGUAACUUCGGGAGAAGGCACGCUGAUACGUAGGUGAAGCGACUUGCUCGUGGAGCUGAAAUCAGUCGAAGAUACCAGCUGGCUGCAACUGUUUAUUAAAAACACAGCACUGUGCAAACACGAAAGUGGACGUAUACGGUGUGACGCCUGCCCGGUGCCGGAAGGUUAAUUGAUGGGGUUAGCGCAAGCGAAGCUCUUGAUCGAAGCCCCGGUAAACGGCGGCCGUAACUAUAACGGUCCUAAGGUAGCGAAAUUCCUUGUCGGGUAAGUUCCGACCUGCACGAAUGGCGUAAUGAUGGCCAGGCUGUCUCCACCCGAGACUCAGUGAAAUUGAACUCGCUGUGAAGAUGCAGUGUACCCGCGGCAAGACGGAAAGACCCCGUGAACCUUUACUAUAGCUUGACACUGAACAUUGAGCCUUGAUGUGUAGGAUAGGUGGGAGGCUUUGAAGUGUG